GAAUUUUAUAUCAUUUAGAAAACUAACACACAAUAAACAUGCUAAGAUUGUGCCUUGAGGGCAUCAAAAGUACCUUCACCACAUAAUCCUCCACUGAAUAUGGGUUAUCCUUCUUUAGUUGGAUAAAACCAUGGUAAACCGAUUCAUUAAUGGAGAAAACAAGGGGCUUGUCUCAUAGUCACUCAAAACCUCUACAAUGCAUAUACAAAAAACACUUCCAAGGAAGAACUUUUUUAGAAUCUUAGCCAAGAAUGUCUACUUGUUGCCCAAAAGGGGGGUAAUUCCAUUCAUUUUUUUCUCCUCUAUUUUUUUCUCUGACACAAUACAUGUCUUCACGCCCCUGCAUAACAACCAUAAAAUAUCCUUUAUAUGAAAUGAAUCUUAGUUCAGGAUUCUUGAUGACUGCGAUUAACUUUGGAUGUAAAAACGCUUCCAAGUUUUCACGCGAACCAACUUUAAAGCUUCAAAUAUGCAAAUCCUCUCCGUAAUCAAUACUGAUAUUCAGGACCUAUGCUAUUAUUGUUAUAGUGUCACUCUCAUCACAGAUUCUAUGAAAUAUAAAAUUGUUGAACUAGAGCCACACGAUAUCGUUUUAAUUGGAAGCUUUGAUUUGGGAAUAUCAUACUUUUUUUCAGCUCUGUUGCAUUUCCUCUGUAGGUGGCUGUGUGUACGGACAGCUACAAUGAUCCAUAUCUUUCAUCUUCCCGAGGAAAUGGAAAUAAGCAUGUCUCCAACGGGUUCUUGAUUAUCAAUGUUCCACAGAUCCCCAAAACCCCCACAUGAAUCCCAUUCCUACGCUGAUGGAGAACCUCGCUUUUCAAACUUACCUCAAUCAUCUGUUGUCUUCUUCAUCUCUCCAGGGGCUGGGCCCACCGAGUCAGUACACUUGGUUUACAGUGGAGACCAACAACGUGCGAGGUCCCUCGUAAAUUGACGGGAUCAUUGAGGGUCUGGACACUGGUUGCUGUGUGGGGAUUUGACCAGACAAUGGUAUAUGACAGGUUUCAAGUGAUUCAGAAAAGUCAGAGAUGCCAUACAUGGGGAAUAGGACCGGAUAAAGCUCGUUCUGAGAGAGGGUCGAGUGUUUCUAACCUUUAUAAGUUCCAAUCUUCUUGGUAUCUUUCCCGUCAAGGGAUCAUUGAUAAGUUAAGGUACCCAACCUGAAAAAAAAAGGCUGGUAAGUCUUGGGAAGUCUCCAGAAAUAUGACAGAGGAGAUCGAGAAUAUUCACAAGGUAAAGGAUGGGACGCCUGAUAUUCAAGUGUUCUUCCCUUUGAAAACCACUUCAAGUAUCAGUUUCAUAUCGACUCAGUAUCUAACUUAAUCUCAGUUUCAGGGCACUCAGAUUCCCUAACAGGGGGGAAUUUUUCUGACAGCUAUUUUGAGAGAGGGCCAGUAUGUGAAGAGAGAGCGGCUACAUAUUUGUGAAGGAACGAUUCCAGCAAAGGGAAUUAUUCCGAAUACGGCGAAUCCAAGGAUGGCAUUGCUUUCUCCAUCCAAGAUGGAAGGUUUCCGGAUUAGUUGAUUGUCCCAAUAUCAAGGUUCCCAUGUUGUACAAUUCUGCCAGGUGGAAGGGACUUCCCCGGAAAGAUUAUUCUUACUGAGCAUUAAGAAUUUGAGGAAAUUUUGGGAACCUAUUGAGCAUGUAUAGUACAGCAGACGUGUUGACAUAUCAAGGAAAUACAAGUCGGACUAUCCUUCCAAACGUCGGGAAUUAUCCAGGAUAGAGAUUAUUAUAGAUGGCUGAUUUGUCAAUAGAACUGUAGAUUACCUAUGGACAAAAAAGGGAAAUGCUACCAUUUAGAGAGUUCAUAGAAAUAUCUAAGUCUGUCAAAUAGGGCAUUACUUCCCAAUGUCUAGAGGAAUGGGUCCAGAGGACAAGUUAGUCAUCAGAAUAAUGCACUCACAUUGGAAAAGACCCCCCCCCCAAAGUGGGAAGAGACCUCAAAGCGGUCCGAGCUUAGAUCGACUGUGGAGUGGUGUCGAACUCUAAUGAGUUCGGCACUGUCCCGCUAUAAGGUAUUGUAAGCUGAGCUACGUCUAGUUCAUUGAGCUGCAAAUCCAACUUCCAAACCAUAUGCGGGUGAUCUGAAAAUUACGGCAUUGUUGAGCAACCAGCAAGUUUUCAGGUCAUUUUGAUUUCGAAGCCAUGUAGGGAAUCUGGGCCCAACUUGGCAUGAUCUGGUAUUGAUGUACUGAGUUUAAAAAAGGGGAAGCCAAUGAGGCAUCGAUGUCAAAGAAUAAUGAAACAUUUGGUGAUCCUUUUUUCAUUGACAACCAUUAAGCUUGAUUAGAUUUUGCCCAAAAACCCCCCCCCACCAAAAUGAGCUUCAGUUAUGAACCUCACAUGGAUUAUCUGAGAGCUCCAGCACAUCCAAUGAUGACAGCUGCCAGAGACUUGGGGGAUGUGCUACCUCUCAUUCUGAUUUUGAGAGAUGUCCAAUUCCUCCAAAAUAUGAAAUUCUGAUGGAGUUUGGAAUCGACCUUUGAAUGCGUUAGAC
rnacentral:lncRNA from 1 species